rnacentral:rRNA from 1 species
UUAAGUUAUUAAGGGCGCACGGUGGAUGCCUUGGCACUAGAAGCCGAUGAAGGACGUUACUAACGACGAUAUGCUUUGGGGAGCUGUAAGUAAGCUUUGAUCCAGAGAUUUCCGAAUGGGGAAACCCAGCAUGAGUUAUGUCAUGUUAUCGAUAUGUGAAUACAUAGCAUAUCAGAAGGCACACCCGGAGAACUGAAACAUCUUAGUACCCGGAGGAAGAGAAAGAAAAUUCGAUUCCCUUAGUAGCGGCGAGCGGAAAAGGGAAGAGCCCAAACCAACAAGCUUGCUUGUUGGGGUUGUAGGACACUCUAUACGGAGUUACAAAGGACGACAUUAGACGAAUCAUCUGGAAAGAUGAAUCAAAGAAGGUAAUAAUCCUGUAGUCGAAAAUGUUGUCUUCUCUUGAGUGGAUCCUGAGUACGACGGAGCACGUGAAAUUCCGUCGGAAUCUGGGAGGACCAUCUCCUAAGGCUAAAUACUCUCUAGUGACCGAUAGUGAACCAGUACCGUGAGGGAAAGGUGAAAAGCACCCCGGAAGGGGAGUGAAAUAGAACCUGAAACCGUGUGCUUACAAGUAGUCAGAGCCCGUUAAUGGGUGAUGGCGUGCCUUUUGUAGAAUGAACCGGCGAGUUACGAUUUGAUGCAAGGUUAAGCAGUAAAUGUGGAGCCGUAGCGAAAGCGAGUCUGAAUAGGGCGUUUAGUAUUUGGUCGUAGACCCGAAACCAGGUGAUCUACCCUUGGUCAGGUUGAAGUUCAGGUAACACUGAAUGGAGGACCGAACCGACUUACGUUGAAAAGUGAGCGGAUGAACUGAGGGUAGCGGAGAAAUUUCAAUCGAACCUGGAGAUAGCUGGUUCUCUCCGAAAUAGCUUUAGGGCUAGCCUCAAGUGAUGAUUAUUGGAGGUAGAGCACUGUUUGGACGAGGGGCCCCUCUCGGGUUACCGAAUUCAGACAAACUCCGAAUGCCAAUUAAUUUAACUUGGGAGUCAGAACAUGGGUGAUAAGGUCCGUGUUCGAAAGGGAAACAGCCCAGACCACCAGCUAAGGUCCCAAAAUAUAUGUUAAGUGGAAAAGGAUGUGGCGUUGCCCAGACAACUAGGAUGUUGGCUUAGAAGCAGCCAUCAUUUAAAGAGUGCGUAAUAGCUCACUAGUCGAGUGACACUGCGCCGAAAAUGUACCGGGGCUAAACAUAUUACCGAAGCUGUGGAUUGUCCUUUGGACAAUGGUAGGAGAGCGUUCUAAGGGCGUUGAAGCAUGAUCGUAAGGACAUGUGGAGCGCUUAGAAGUGAGAAUGCCGGUGUGAGUAGCGAAAGACGGGUGAGAAUCCCGUCCACCGAUUGACUAAGGUUUCCAGAGGAAGGCUCGUCCGCUCUGGGUUAGUCGGGUCCUAAACUGAGGCCGACAGGCGUAGGCGAUGGAUAACAGGUUGAUAUUCCUGUACCACCUAUAAUCGUUUUAAUCGAUGGGGGGACGCAGUAGGAUAGGCGAAGCGUGCGAUUGGAUUGCACGUCUAAGCAGUAAGGCUGAGUAUUAGGCAAAUCCGGUACUCGUUAAGGCUGAGCUGUGAUGGGGAGAAGACAUUGUGUCUUCGAGUCGUUGAUUUCACACUGCCGAGAAAAGCCUCUAGAUAGAAAAUAGGUGCCCGUACCGCAAACCGACACAGGUAGUCAAGAUGAGAAUUCUAAGGUGAGCGAGCGAACUCUCGUUAAGGAACUCGGCAAAAUGACCCCGUAACUUCGGGAGAAGGGGUGCUCUUUAGGGUUAACGCCCAGAAGAGCCGCAGUGAAUAGGCCCAAGCGACUGUUUAUCAAAAACACAGGUCUCUGCUAAACCGUAAGGUGAUGUAUAGGGGCUGACGCCUGCCCGGUGCUGGAAGGUUAAGAGGAGUGGUUAGCUUCUGCGAAGCUACGAAUCGAAGCCCCAGUAAACGGCGGCCGUAACUAUAACGGUCCUAAGGUAGCGAAAUUCCUUGUCGGGUAAGUUCCGACCCGCACGAAAGGCGUAACGAUUUGGGCACUGUCUCAACGAGAGACUCGGUGAAAUCAUAGUACCUGUGAAGAUGCAGGUUACCCGCGACAGGACGGAAAGACCCCGUGGAGCUUUACUGUAGCCUGAUAUUGAAAUUCGGCACAGCUUGUACAGGAUAGGUAGGAGCCUUUGAAACGUGAGCGCUAGCUUACGUGGAGGCGCUGGUGGGAUACUACCCUAGCUGUGUUGGCUUUCUAACCCGCACCACUUAUCGUGGUGGGAGACAGUGUCAGGCGGGCAGUUUGACUGGGGCGGUCGCCUCCUAAAAGGUAACGGAGGCGCUCAAAGGUUCCCUCAGAAUGGUUGGAAAUCAUUCAUAGAGUGUAAAGGCAUAAGGGAGCUUGACUGCGAGACCUACAAGUCGAGCAGGGUCGAAAGACGGACUUAGUGAUCCGGUGGUUCCGCAUGGAAGGGCCAUCGCUCAACGGAUAAAAGCUACCCCGGGGAUAACAGGCUUAUCUCCCCCAAGAGUUCACAUCGACGGGGAGGUUUGGCACCUCGAUGUCGGCUCAUCGCAUCCUGGGGCUGUAGUCGGUCCCAAGGGUUGGGCUGUUCGCCCAUUAAAGCGGUACGCGAGCUGGGUUCAGAACGUCGUGAGACAGUUCGGUCCCUAUCCGUCGUGGGCGUAGGAAAUUUGAGAGGAGCUGUCCUUAGUACGAGAGGACCGGGAUGGACAUACCUCUGGUGUACCAGUUGUCGUGCCAACGGCAUAGCUGGGUAGCUAUGUGUGGACGGGAUAAGUGCUGAAAGCAUCUAAGCAUGAAGCCCCCCUCAAGAUGAGAUUUCCCAACUUCGGUUAUAAGAUCCCUCAAAGAUGAUGAGGUUAAUAGGUUCGAGGUGGAAGCAUGGUGACAUGUGGAGCUGACGAAUACUAAUCGAUCGAAGACUUAAUCAA